rnacentral:rRNA from 1 species
UACGAGGGGGGCGAGCGUUGUUCGGAAUCACUGGGCGUAAAGCGUGCGUAGGCGGUCUUGAAAGUUAGGAGUGAAAGCCCCAGGCUCAACUUGGGAAUUGCUCUUAAUACUACAAGACUCGAAUCUCGGAGAGGAUAGCGGAAUUGUCAGUGUAGCAGUGAAAUGCGUAGAUAUUGACAGGAACACCAGUGGCGUAAGCGGCUAUCUGGACGAGUAUUGACGCUGAGGCACGAAAGCGUGGGGAUCAAACAGGAUUAGAUACCCUGGUAGUCCACGCCGUAAACGAUGUGUGCUUGUCGCUGGAAGGUUCACCUUUCGGUGACGGAGCUAACGCGUUAAGCACACCGCCUGGGAAGUACGGUCGCAAGAUUAAA